rnacentral:precursor_RNA from 1 species
CAGUCGGGACAGCUGCGGCAGCAGAGAGGACCGAGGCUGCUGACCGCUGCUCCGACGCGG